AUCGCUUCUCGGCCUUUUGGCUAAGAUCAAGUGUAAACAUCAGAAAUCUUUCAUAAUAUAAAUUAAAAUUUUUUUUUUUUUGCUGUUGAUGUAUU
ensembl:snRNA U2 U2 spliceosomal RNA